GUGCCAGCAGCCGCGGUACUACCGGCAGCCCGAGUGAUGACCGAUCUUAUUGGGCCUAAAGCGUCCGUAGCUGGCCGACCAAGUCUCCCGGGAAAUCCACCUGCCCAACGGGUGGGCGUCCGGUAGAAACUGGCCGGCUUGGAACCGGAAGGCUCAGAGAGUACGUCCGGGGUAGGAGUGAAAUCCCGUAAUCCCGGACGGACUACCGAUGGUGAAAGCACCCUGAGAAGACGGCUUCGACAGUGAGGGACGAAAGCUCGGGUCUCAAACCGGAUUAGAAACCCUUGUAGUCC
rnacentral:rRNA from 1 species